AAUUGAAAAAACACUUUGGUCAUAUACCCGAACCCAUACCGAAUUCGAGAGUGAUAGACCAAAGGGCCACAGAUACUGGUCUAUAGCCGGGAAACAUGGUCAGA
rnacentral:rRNA from 1 species